AGGCAGACAGGCAUGGCAGAGAAGAAGAAAUGACCAAAUAACUAAAAGAUCACUAGCCUGAAGCACAGGAAGGGACAAGGUUGGCCAGAUCAUGGCCUAUAAAAUGCUUCAAGUAGUCCUGUGUUCAACAUUGCUUAUCGAAUCAUGUUCUCCUGAUUGGAUUUGGCAGCUGGAGUUGACCCAUACACGAAACGAUUUGGGGGUCCAUGCCCAUAUUGUUGACCUGCGAUCAGAUCUGUCCAUAAAGUGCAAAGCAUUGGGAGCGCCAUUUUUGUUGGAGGACCCUGCAAACCAGUUCCUACGUCUCAAAAGACAUGUAAAUUUGCAGGAUUACUGGGACCCAGAUCACAGUUCAGAUGUGUGGGGAAACACACUGGCUAAGCAGCUCGUGAAACAUGGAUUGCUUUGAAAACAACAGCACAGUAUUAUUUGGAUAUGAAUACCUUCACCUUUGACAUGUCUACUGCCCAGUAAAUAUGUUUUCCUGAUUAAAGCAGGAGGAUGAAGAUGGCAGAGGUUGGAAUGGCAUUGUGCCAAAACCAUGGGUUUUAGAGAUCUGAGGGUAUAUCCAUGCUGUUUACUACAUUAUUUAUUAUGUCUGUCUCAAAGUUGUUGAAAACAGUAGUUAUGAAAACCCAUGUAGAAACCUGGAAUAAGACAUUCUCAAUAAAUGGUAGUUCUCAAAAAAAGAACUAAAAAAAAAAAGGCUGUAGUAAUAACAUUUACCAAAACG
rnacentral:lncRNA from 1 species